rnacentral:rRNA from 1 species
GGGGGGGGAAGGGGGGGGGGGGGGGGAGAGAAAAACAACCCGGGAAAAAAAUAAUUUUUUCCCCCCCUUUUAUUUUUUGGGGGAAAAACCCCCUCAAAAAAAAAGUUUGGGAAUUAAACCCCGGGGUAAAGGCCCCGGGGGGAGGGGCUUUUUUCCCCUUGGGUAUAGGGCUUGGGGUAAAAGAGCGGUUUUUGGAAUGUUCCUGGGCGUUUUUUUCAGCUUGUUGGUGGAGGUUACCGGCUCCCCCAAGGGCUAUGGAGGAAAAGUAGUGUGGAGAGGGAUGAUCAGCCUCACUGGAACUGAGACACGGUCCCAGACACUACNGGGUGCNAGCAGUCGAGAAUCAUUCACAAUGGGCGNAAAGCCUGAUGGUGCGACGCCGCGUGGGGGAUGAAGGCUUCGGUUCGUAAACCCCUGUCAUCUGUGAGUAAGACUCCCAAUAAAAGCUUGGGAGGUUGAUAUUAGCAGAAGAGGAAGGGACGGCUAACUCUGUGCCAGCAGCCGCGGUAAUACAGGGGUCCCAAGCGUUGUUCGGAUUUACUGGGCGUAAAGAGUGCGUAGGCGGCUAGAAAAGUUUGGUGUGAAAUCUUCGGGCUUAACCCGGAAACUGCACUGAAAACUAUCUGGCUAGAGGAUCGGAGAGGAGAUUGGAAUUCUCGGUGUAGCAGUGAAAUGCGUAGAUAUCGAGAGGAACACCAGUUGCGAAGGCGGAUCUCUGGACGGUUUCUGACGCUGAGGCACGAAAGCUGGGGUAGCGAAGAGGAUUAGAUACCCUCGUAGUCCCAGCCGUAAACGGUGCACACUUGCUGUGGGCGGAUUCGACCCCGUCCGUGGCGAAGCUAACGCGAUAAGUGUGCCGCCUGGGGAGUACGGUCGCAAGAUUAAAACUCAAAGAAAUUGACGGGGGCCUGCACAAGCGGUGGAGUAUGUGGCUUAAUUCGAUGCAACGCGAAGAACCUUACCUGGCCUUGACAUGUAGUGGACCGGGUGCGAAAUCACCCUUUUCUUCGGAACUGCUACACAGGUGCUGCAUGGCUGUCGUCAGCUCGUGUCGUGAGAUGUUGGGUUAAGUCCCGUAACGAGCGCAACCCUUAUCCUUAUUUGCCAGCACAUAAUGGUGGGAACUAUAAGGAGACUGCCGGUGAUAAACCGGAGGAAGGCGGGGACGACGUCAAGUCAUCAUGGCCCUUACGACCAGGGCUACACACGUGCUACAAUGGGAAGGACAAAGGGUCGCUAAGCCGCGAGGUGGUGCUAAUCUCAUAAACCUUUUCGUAGUCCGGAUCGGAGUCUGCAACUCGACUCCGUGAAGUCGGAAUCGCUAGUAAUCGGGAUCAGAACGCCAUCGUGUUAGCGCCCC